rnacentral:lncRNA from 1 species
CAGAACCAAGGAAGACCUCCUUUUCAGAGCAGGGUUUACAACCUCACACAACAGGAUACCGAUGCCGACCCGAACGUGGUACUGGGUAUGUACACUAUCUGUAACCAUAUUACUCAUGUUUUAUUUGACACUGGUGCAUCGCAUUCAUUUGUUUCACAUGUUUUUGCAUCCAAACUUAAUGUAUCACCUGAUAAACUUGAUUCAAU